rnacentral:rRNA from 1 species
CCUACGGGCGGCAGCAGUGGGGAAUAUUGGUCAAUGGGGGGAACCCUGAACCAGCGAAGCCGCGUGAGUGAAGACGUAUCUCGGUAUUUAAAGCUUUAUCUGCAGGGGAGAAAAUGACGGUACGUGUCUAAUUAGCCCCGGCUAACUACGUGCCAGCAGCCGCGGGAAUACGUCGGGGGCAAGCGUUAUCCGGAUUUACUGGGUGUAAAGGGGGCGUAGACGGUGCAGCAAGUCUGAUGUGAAGGUCGGGGGCCAACCCUGGGACUGCAUUGGAAACUGUUUUACUUGAGUAAAGGAGAGGUAAGCGGAAUUCGUAGUGUAGCGGUGAAAUGCAUAGAUAUCAGGAAGAACACCAGUGGCGAAGGCAGCUUACUGGACUGUAACUGACGUUGAGGCUCGAAAGUGUGGGUAGCGAACAGGAUUAGAUACCCCAGUAGUC